rnacentral:rRNA from 1 species
CGCGUGAGAAUCUGCCCUCAGGAGGGGGAUAACGGCCGGAAACGGCCGCUAAUACCCCAUAUGCCGCAAGGUGAAAUGAAUUUCGCCUGAGGAUGAGCCCGCGUCUGAUUAGCUAGUUGGUGGGGUAAUGGCCUACCAAGGCUACGAUCAGUAGCUGGUCUGAGAGGAUGAUCAGCCACACUGGGACUGAGACACGGCCCAGACUCCUACGGGAGGCAGCAGUGGGGAAUUUUCCGCAAUGGGCGAAAGCCUGACGGAGCAACGCCGCGUGGGUGAUGAAGGCCCGUGGGUCGUAAAGCCCUUUUGUCAGGGACGAAACCUGACGGUACCUGACGAAUAAGCAUCGGCUAACUCCGUGCCAGCAGCCGCGGUAAUACGGAGGAUGCAAGCGUUAUCCGGAAUUAUUGGGCGUAAAGCGUACGUAGGCGGCCAGCCAAGUCUGGGGUCAAAGCCCGCAGCCUAACUGCGGAAAGGCCCUGGAAACUGGUUGGCUAGAGUGCGGUAGGGGCAAGGGGAAUUCCCGGUGUAGCGGUGAAAUGUGGAGAUAUCGGGAAGAACACCAGCGGCGAAAGCGCCUUGCUGGACCGCAACUGACGCUGAGGUACGAAAGCCAGGGGAGCAAU